rnacentral:lncRNA from 1 species
CUAAGAGCUCAUGUUCAGAAUGCACAAAGAAAAAAUAUUAAAAAAAUUGGUUAGUAGUUUUUUAUUCUUGUGAAUAUUAGACUAAUUUCUACUCAGUCUUAUACAGUAAAUAGUAUACUCCUGUGACAUGUGUUUAUAUGACUUACUCACUCUUACAAAUUCUGUAUUCUUACAUUUGAGGCAUAAUCAAGAGAAGUUUCAUUUGAAGAACCUGGUUCAUCAAUGCAUGCUCAUGAGAAAGGUCAGGUAUGUUUCUAUACUUU